rnacentral:rRNA from 1 species
UACGAAGGGGGCUAGCGUUGUUCGGAAUUACUGGGCGUAAAGCGUGCGCAGGCGGCUAUCCAAGUCAGUGGUGAAAGCCCGGAGCUCAACUCCGGAAUUGCCAUUGAAACUGUUUAGCUCGAGUACGAGAGAGGUGAGUGGAAUUCCCAGUGUAGAGGUGAAAUUCGUAGAUAUUGGGAAGAACACCGGUGGCGAAGGCGGCUCUCUGGGACGUGACUGACGCUGAGACGCGAAAGCGUGGGGAGCGAACAGG